GCAUUAUUGCAAGCCAUGAAUGAAGCUAGGCAUAGAGGCUUUGAACGAGUCCAAUUCAAAAGUGACUCUCAAGUGCUGGUUGAGGCCAUUCGUACCAAGAGGCGAGACAAUUAAGAGUUUCUUUCGAUCGUUAAUGAUAUUAUUCUUGUUAUGUUCUCUUGUGAAAACUUUGAAGUUAAGUUUAUUAGGAGAUAAGUGAAUUUGGUUGCUCAUACGCUAGCUAAGGCGGCCAAUUCUU
rnacentral:lncRNA from 1 species